rnacentral:rRNA from 1 species
AUUGAACGCUGGCGGCAUGCUUUACACAUGCAAGUCGAACGGUAACAGGCCGCAAGGUGCUGACGAGUGGCGAACGGGUGAGUAAUGCAUCGGAACGUGCCCAGUCGUGGGGGAUAACGCAGCGAAAGCUGUGCUAAUACCGCAUACGAUCUGUGGAUGAAAGCGGGGGACCGUAAGGCCUCGCGCGAUUGGAGCGGCCGAUGUCAGAUUAGGUAGUUGGUGGGGUAAAGGAUCACCAAGCCGACGAUCUGUAGCUGGUCUGAGAGGACGACCAGCCACACUGGGACUGAGACACGGCCCAGACUCCUACGGGAGGCAGCAGUGGGGAAUUUUGGACAAUGGGCGCAAGCCUGAUCCAGCAAUGCCGCGUGCAGGAAGAAGGCCUUCGGGUUGUAAACUGCUUUUGUACGGAGCGAAAAGGCUCUCUCUAAUACAGGGGGCUCAUGACGGUACCGUAAGAAUAAGCACCGGCUAACUACGUGCCAGCCGCCGCCGUAAUAC